rnacentral:lncRNA from 1 species
AGAGACUCUAUAGUAAUAAAAUAAAGUAAAAUAAAAUAAAAUAAAUAAUCUAAUCUUUGCUUAAAUUUGUACAUGACCCCUUUCAUAAUAAUAAUAAUAAUAUUUUGGCAUUUAACGCAUAAGUUAAUUAUUUAAACAGUGAAAGUCUUACUGUUUUAAAAUAUUGUCUUAAGACCCAUCUUGUUUAUGCUUUUUAUGUGAUUGUUUGUAUUUGGUCUGUUAGGGUGUAAUAAUAAUUAUUGUGUAAUGUUGAUUGUUUUGUUGUAAGGUGUCCUUGAGUGUCAUGUCAGGUGCCUAUAAAUAACAUGAAAUAAAUUUUACACAGAGGUCAAGUUCAUUAUUUACGUUUGACAUUUCAUGUAACGGACCUCAAACUGUGCUCAACAACUGUAAGCGGUAAGCGUAGCGGUACCUUUAAGAAAAUUGGACCGAUGUAUUUUGAAAACGGGGGAGAACAGUUCAUUUAGUUGUGAAAAGUCGUGUGCAAAGAGUGUAUAUACUGAAUAGUUGAUCUAUUUAUUAUGCAGCUACUCAAUUAUUUCCUAUACUGUAAAACUGAACAUUAGCUAAUGAUAUUAAGGGGACAUGAUAAAACCUGUUUGACCGAUCCCCCCUCUUUCCCACAAAAGUCUAUUCUUGAUCUAAGGCUCAUGAUGCAGUGGGAUUCAAUAAGCUGGUAGGUGCUGCCCAACUCAAGGUUUUCGGCUCCAGUCGACAGCGAAUGAGCACGGAAAUAUACCGCAGCAUCCUCACUCAUUUGAAGUGUUUACGUGCAGAUCAUAAAGGCAUCAGCCCCACUGAUAACCUGCAGCAGCUGGAGGACAAGGACAGCUCGGACAGCAGCUCAGAGCCCGUUAAAACCUGAGCCAUACAAAGGUAUUUGCUAUUUAGUAACUGCUUUUCCAUCCAGUAUAACUUAUAGACUACUAGUUGCAAUCAGCCGCCAGCCUUCUGUCAGUACACCAGCAAACAUUUCAUAUGAUAUUGGCAGUACUGGAGGCAGAGGGUUUUUCCAUUCCCAGGUCCUUUUAGUGUGUUGUGUUUGUUAUUCUGUGCAUUAGCAGAUGUUCCUUCACAGAAAGACAUGAGUUACCUGAGGGAGCAGUUUUUAGAGCAGGGUAAGUUUUUUCCCAUGUCAUUUCCUCUUGACGUGUACAAGGUGACAUGUUCCUUUGAUCAUUGCCAGCGUUUCAGAAGUACAGAUCUCAGUUCAGUCAUCUAGGUGAAGGUGACGAUGAAGUCGAGGUGUUCCAGACUCACUAGUAAGCUGUUGAAAUGUAAUCAGAUGUUAGGGAUGCUAUUUUUUACCAUCCACAAUCAGUUAAUACAAUUAAUGAAAAACAGAAAGAGAAAGUGUCUCUCACACUUUAUUUGUUAAUUAAUUAGAUGAUUUUUCUAGACAGAUCUAAAAGUUGGAGGUGUAUUCAUGUUACAAAACGCUCCUGAAGUGGUCUCCACUUGCAGUAUGGUUAGGAACAGCUGUCCAAGACUGCCAAACUAUUGAACUUACAGUUA